UGCAAGUCGAGCGAGAAAGCACUUCGGUGUGAGUACAGCGGCGGACGGGUGAGUAACGCGUAGGAAUCUACCCAGUAGUGGGGGACAACAUGGUGAAAACCAUGCUAAUACCGCAUACGCCCUACGGGGGAAAGCGGGGGACCUUCGGGCCCCGCGCUACUGGAUGAGCCUGCGUUGGAUUAGCUAGUUGGUGGGGUAAAGGCUCACCAAGGCGACGACGGGUAGCCGGCCUGAGAGGGUGACCGGCCACACUGGGACUGAGACACGGCCCAGACUCCUACGGGAGGCAGCAGUGGGGAAUAUUGCACAAUGGGCGCAAGCCUGAUGCAGCAACGCCGCGUGAGGGACGAAGGCCUUCGGGUUGUAAACCUCUUUUAGCAGGGAAGAAGCGAAAGUGACGGCACCUGCAGAAAAAGCGCCGGCUAACUACGUGCCAGCAGCCGCGGUAAUACGUAGGGCGCAAGCGUUGUCCGGAAUUAUUGGGCGUAAAGAGCUCGUAGGCGGUUUGUCGCGUCUGCUGUGAAAAUCCGAGGCUCAACCUCGGACCUGCAGUGGGUACGGGCAAACUAGAGUGCGGU
rnacentral:rRNA from 1 species